rnacentral:rRNA from 1 species
AUUGAACGCUGGCGGCAUGCCUUACACAUGCAAGUCGAACGGCAGCACGGGUGCUUGCACCUGGUGGCGAGUGGCGAACGGGUGAGUAAGACUUCGGAACGUACCUUAUCGUGGGGGAUAACGCAGCGAACGCUGUGCUAAUACCGCAUACGCCCUGAGGGGGAAAGCGGGGGGUCGAAAGACCUCGCGCGACUAGAGCGGCUGAUGCCUGAUUAGCUUGUUGGUGGGGUAAAAGCCCACCAAGGCGACGGUCAGUAGCUGGUCUGAGAGGCCGAUCAGCCACACUGGGACUGCGACACGGCCCAGACUCCUACGGGAGGCAGCAGUGGGGAAUUUUGGACAAUGGGGGCAACCCUGAUCCAGCAAUGCCGCGUGAGUGAAGAAGGCCUUCGGGUUGUAAAGCUCUUUUGUCAGGGAAGAAACACCGGCUCUAACACAGUCCGGGAAUGACGGUACCUGAAGAAUAAGCACCGGCUAACUACGUGCCAGCAGCCGCCGUAA